AAAUGACUCUCGGCAACGGAUAUCUCGGCUCUCGCAUCGAUGAAGAACGUAGCGAAAUGCGAUACUUGGUGUGAAUUGCAGAAUCCCGUGAACCAUCGAGUCUUUGAACGCAAGUUGCGCCCGAAGCCAUUAGGCUGAGGGCACGUCCGCCUGGGUGU
rnacentral:rRNA from 1 species